UACAGAGGUCUCAAGCGUUUGUUCGGAUUCAUUGGGCGUAAAGGGUGCGUAGGCGGCGCGGUAAGUCGGGUGUGAAAUCUUGGAGCUUAACUCCGAAACUGCAUUCGAUACUGCCGUGCUUGAGGACUGGAGAGGAGACUGGAAUUUACGGUGUAGCGGUGAAAUGCGUAGAUAUCGUAAGGAAGACCAGUGGCGAAGGCGGGUCUCUGGACAGUUCCUGACACUGAGGCACGAAGGCCAGGGGAGCAAAACGGG
rnacentral:rRNA from 1 species